rnacentral:rRNA from 4 species
UUUUAAAUAUAAUAUUUGAUCCUUUCGUACUAAAAUAUUUAUUGUAUUUAAGAUAGAAACCAACCUGGCUCACACCGGUUUAAACUCAGAUCAUGUAAAAUUUUAAAGGUCGAACAGACCUAAUAUUUUAGCUUCUACACCAAAAAUAAAUUUUAAUCCAACAUCGAGGUCGCAAACCUUUUUUUCAAUAAGAACUAUUAAAAAGAUUACGCUGUUAUCCCUAAGGUAAUUUAAUCUUUUAAUCAUUUAUUUGGAUCAAUAAUUCAAUUAUUAUUGUAAUUAUAUAAAAAAAGUUAAUUUAAUUUUUUUGUCACCCCAACAAAACUUAAAUUAAAUUAAAAAAUUAAAAUUCUAAAAUUAAUAAUUUAAUUAUUAGUUAAACUCUAUAGGGUCUUCUCGUCUUUAAAUUUUAUUUAAGCUUUUUAACUUAAAAAUAAAAUUCUAUAAAUAAAAUUGAAACAGUAAUUUUCUCAUCAAACCAUUCAUACAAGCUUUCAAUUAAAAAACUAAUGAUUAUGCUACCUUUGCACAGUCAAAAUACUGCGGCCCUUCAAAUUUCAGUGGGCAGGCCAAACUUUAAAUUAAAAUC